rnacentral:rRNA from 1 species
CAAGGCAUACGGCUCAGUAACACGUAGUCAACCUACCUUAUAGACGGGGAUAACCUCGGGAAACUGAGAAUAAUACCCGAUAGAUCAUUAUGCCUGGAAUGGCUUAUGGUUAAAAUGAAUUUCGCUAUAGGAUGGGACUGCGGUCUAUCAGCUUGUUGGUGAGGUAAUGGCCCACCAAGGCUAUAACAGAUACGGGCUCUGAGAGGAGAAGCCCGGAGAUGGGUACUGAGACACUGACCCAGGUCCUAUGGGGCGCAGCAGGCGAGAAAACUUUGCAAUGUGCGAAAGCACGACAAGGUUAAUCCGAGUGUUUCCUGCUAAAGGAAUCUUUUGUUAGUCAUAAUACCACUAUCGAAUAAGGGGUGGGCAAGUUCUGGUGUCAGCCGCCGCGGUAAAACCAGCACCUCAAGUGGUCAGGAGGAUUAUUGGGCCUAAAGCAUCCGUAGCCUGCUUUGUUAGUUUUCGGUUAAAUCCAUAUGCUCAACAUAUGGGCUGCCGGGAAUACUGCAUAGCUAGGGAGUGGGAGAGGUAGACGGUACUCCGUAGGAAGGGGUAAAAUCCUUUGAUCUAUGGAUGACCACCUGUGGCGAAGGCGGUCUACCAGAACACGUCCAACGGUGAGGGAUGAAAGCUGGGGGAGCAAACCGGAUUAGAUACCUGGGUAGUCCCAGCUGUAAACUAUGCAAACUCAGUGAUGCAUUGGCUUGUGGCCAGUGCAGUGCCGCAGAGAAGUCGUUAAGUUUGCCGCCUGGGGAGUACGUACGCAAGUAUGAAACUUAAAGGAAUUGGCGGGGGAGCACCACAAGGGGUGAAGCCUGCGGUUCAAUUGGAGUCAACGCCAGAAAUCUUACCCGGAGAGACAGCAGGAUGAAGGUCAAGCUGAAGACUUUACCAGACAAGCUGAGAGGUGGUGCAUGGCCGUCGUCAGCUCGUGCCGUGAGAUGUCCUGUUAAGUCAGGUAACGAGCGAGAUCCCUGCCUCUAGUUGCCACCAUUACUCUCAGGAGUAGUGGGGCGAAUUAGCGGGACCGCUGCAGUUAAUGCGGAGGAAGGAGGGGGCCACGGCAGGUCAGUAUGCCCCGAAACUCUGGGGCCACACGCGGGCUGCAAUGGUAGUGACAAUGGGUCCCGAGUCCGAAAGGAGGAGGUAAUCCUCAAACGCUACCACAGUUAUGACUGAGGGCUGUACUCGCCCUCACGAAUAUGGAAUCCCUAGUACUGCGUG